CUAUUUCAUAGAACUAGUGUCAUUACACCGUUGGUAAUUGCUAAUUAAUUAUAUCGUUUUAAACAACCAUGUAUUUCGAAUAAAAUUGUUGGUUAGGUGUUGUUUGUAUAUACUUAGAUCUAUUAUGAAUUUUAAAAAUAUGUUGUGUAUAUACAUGUACAUUGUUACUAGUUUCUUUGUCUUCCACCCAAAUCCCUGAGUAUUUUGCUAUUAUUUGGUUACUCUGAUGAAGUCUAUAAGCAUAGACGAAAGCUUAGACCAUUAAUAAAAAGGCACAUCCUACGAA